rnacentral:tRNA from 1 species
GGAUGGUUGUCCGAGUGGUCGAUGGAGGCGGUCUUGAAAACCGUUGAGUUAAUAGCUCCGGGGGUUCGAAUCCCUCACCAUCCG